UCAGGUGCACACAUCAUGGAGGUCAAAGGUCAGAGAGAGAAGCAGCAGGCCUCUACAUCAUUCCUUUUCCACAGUGUGGAAUAGAGCUUCAGAUCAUCACCCUGCCCGGGAGAAGGGAAGCUGGCGGGGAUAUGAGUCGCGCCCCCCCCCGCUGCUCUGCCUAAAUGCAGUAGUGCAUGGGUAUUAGCAAGCUGUGAUGGAAGAGCCUUGUAGGAGAAAUUGGGGGCAACAGACCAAGAAAAUGGUUUGUGUGUUAUCCAUGGAGAAAAGGACAAAUGGUGUUUAAUUGGUCUGACAACAUAUGACCCACAAUGUAAGCAUACUGAAUCACCGUGGAAUUUUACAGUUGGUACGCAAGUGUGACUGACAGUCAGUGUUUAACAUGCAUGUCCUCAAAUUGCAUUCAUUAUGGUGUUAUUAACCGUCUCAUAUAUCUUUAUUUCAGUUAUUUACUUUCUGUUCAAUAUUUGGGAGACAUACUUUAAAACCACUUUCAAAGAGUAAGAAUUCGAUAGCAUCACUACAUCACAUUUGUGCUACACAUAGAGCCCUAAAGAAUUCACAGACAUUUCAGAUAUCAUUGCAGUAUUGAAAGAGAAGUUGGAAAAAAUAACACCACCGGUCUUUUUUUGUGUUUAUUGUGUGUUCUCUUUUUCCCCCCCUUUUUGGCAAAUAAAUUAUACUCACACGUGUGCAGGGAGUUCAAGAAUGAAUCUAACCAAAGCCAUAUAUGCUCGCUAAAAAAAAUACUUGAACAAUGAUUUACUUUUUGUAGUUUUGCCUCUGUACAGCACUACACUAAAUUUUAAAUCAGACAAUCAAGAGGAGAUUAAAGUGUGAAUUGUUGGAAUCGACUGUAGGGGUCUUUGGAGGAAAAACUACAAAAUGUGUAAUUGUCCAAAUUCCUCUCUGUUGCUAAUUACGUCAUUUUUUUUUUUCAUUUUAUGGCAAGUAGCAACAAGCCUAAAUAUACUAAAGCCUACUUUAUUGGAGUUUACUUUAUUAACAUUAUUCUAAGGAGAUGUAGAAAUUACUUUUAUUUUCAUUACAUGAAAGCAUAAGAGCGCUUUGGUGAAACGCAAACUGCAUUAUGUUGCUAACACAACUUUGACUUUGCAAACAUCUGAAUAGACAUUAGUGCAAAGCUAGCCAAGGACCCAGAGUCAUAUUAAAGCUGAGUCUAUGCUGACCCCAGCCCAGCAGCCAGACCCUGAUGUUCAUCAGGUAACUGCAGCCUCCAUUUCUACCUGUACAUGAUGAUCUCCCAUCCUUGAGCUAAUUUUCACCUUUAGUUUGUGUUGUUGGCUUUGUGUUCAUACAUUGAAGUUUGUGUCAAAUGUUAAGUUUAAAAUCAAAUGUGUAUCUAGAGCCAGGAUGGCUGUGACUCCUGCUUCCACUCUUGACGCUAAGCUAAUGAUUGUUCGAACAGUAAUUAACACUCAGACAUGAGCAUUGUACCAGUUUUCUCAGCUAACUGUCAGCAAGAAAGUUCAUGUUGCAAACUAGAAAUAUAUAAAUAACCUUGUCUAAAAAUAUGCCAUAUGUGUUAGUUUUCAGGGUUCAUCACUAAACUUUAAUAUUCUGUGUUUUCAAGGUGCUGACUCCCUGCAGUCACGAUAAUCCUGUUGGAUGCUGUCAUCACUAAAAAACAAAAACAAAAAAAACUACUCAGAAUUCAAAGCAUUCACCAUAUUUUCUGGACUUACUGCAAACUCACCGUGUUACAAACCUGUGAAAAUCAGACUGUUGCACUAAAUCAGAACUAUCCUCUGACUACAACACAUCAUCUGCUCUGUCUUCUUCCUUCCUCACAUCUCGACUCCCCAGCUGUUCGCCCUCACUUACGAGCCGAUCCAGGAAGAGUGAGUGUAAUUAUCAGCCUCUCCUCUGACCAUUUCAAAAGCUCGCAGUUAGUCGGGUGUGAAGAAGAAAUGUGAUUGCCUGUUAAAUUUUGACACCGCAGGCUGCAAACGCUCAACACACGGACGCCACAUGUGGACCUUUCUCAAUUUAGAAUGACAAUUUUUCACUUAUUUGGAGACGGAGGACAGUUGAGGCUGAAGCUGACAUGUCUUUGGCAGGUCCAUCAAAGAAAUGCAAAAAUGAAUAAAAGCUGCUCUGUAAAUGUUUUAUUUCAUGUCCUGCUUUGAUGGUGAUUAGAUAGAAUUAACACUCAGGUGAAAUUUAUUAUAAGCUGUUUAUUUUUCUCCUGUAUUCCGACGAGUUAACCUUCGUCUCCUUUCCAAGAUGGCAAUACUCAGUUCAUUCAAAGAAGCUUGACCAAAAGCAGGCUUUAAUAUCUUUUUUGCUGCUUUGUAUAAUUCAUGCUGGAGUGUAAACAUUUUUUUUCCUACUUUACUUUCCAGAAGUGUUUUAUUUCCAAGUCCUUGCAUAAAGACUUUUAAACCUUGAACCGAGCCAACCAGCUACAAAGUGAAUCAAAGCCAUAAAAAGAUUUGAUUGGCAGCGAAAAAUAAAGGGAAACUGUGUAGUUAAUUAGCUUUAAUGGUAAAGAAAUUACUUAUCCUAUAAUGCACUACAUAAUCCCAGAUUCCACAAUGAGAGACUUCCAACCUUCUUGAAUUUAAUUCCCUGUUCAUUGCUGUGGUGCAGUAAAUUUACAGUUUUGAAUAUAUUUUGUUGUGUGUGUACUAAUGUAUAGUCUAGUUACCAAUGCAGUGCUCCAUUCCUGAUUGCAAUCACUGCUCUCAUAGGUUCUGAAAUUUGUUGCUUACUUAGCAGUUUGUCAUAUUCAGGUUUAAAUAUU